rnacentral:rRNA from 1 species
CCUACGGGCUGCAGCAGUGGGGAAUAUUGCACAAUGGGCGCAAGCCUGAUGCAGCCAUGCCGCGUGUAUGAAGAAGGCCUUCGGGUUGUAAAGUACUUUCAGCGGGGAGGAAGGUGUUGUGGUUAAUAACCACAGCAAUUGACGAUACCCGCAGAAGAAGCACCGGCUAACUCCGUGCCAGCAGCCGCGGUAAUACGGAGGGUGCAAGCGUUAAUCGGAAUUACUGGGCGUAAAGCGCACGCAGGCGGUCUGUCAAGUCGGAUGUGAAAUCCCCGGGCUCAACCUGGGAACUGCAUUCGAAACUGGCAGGCUAGAGUCUUGUAGAGGGGGGUAGAAUUCCAGGUGUAGCGGUGAAAUGCGUAGAGAUCUGGAGGAAUACCGGUGGCGAAGGCGGCCCCCUGGAUAAAGACUGACGCUCAGGUGCGAAAGCGUGGGGAGCAAACAGGAUUAGAUACCCUUGUAGUC